rnacentral:tRNA from 3 species
CGGGUUGUGGCGCAGCUAGGUAGCGCGCACGUCUGGGGGGCGUGAGGUCCCGGGUUCAAAUCCCGGCAACCCGACCA